AGUCGCGUGGUCUAAUGGUUAUGAUUUCUCGUUCACAGUUUUCCAAGCACGUGAGCUUGUUUACUUUCCAUCAUCACCUUGAUGGGGCUCCGAGAAGGUUCCCGGUUCGAUCCCGGGCGCGACUA
rnacentral:tRNA from 1 species